AACGAACGCUGGCGGCAAGCUUAACACAUGCAAGUCGAGCGCCCCGCAAGGGGAGCGGCAGACGGGUGAGUAACGCGUGGGAAUCUACCUAUCUCUACGGAACAACUCCGGGAAACUGGAGCUAAUACCGUAUACGCCCUUCGGGGGAAAGAUUUAUCGGGGAUAGAUGAGCCCGCGUUGGAUUAGCUAGUUGGUGGGGUAAUGGCCUACCAAGGCGACGAUCCAUAGCUGGUCUGAGAGGAUGAUCAGCCACACUGGGACUGAGACACGGCCCAGACUCCUACGGGAGGCAGCAGUGGGGAAUAUUGGACAAUGGGCGCAAGCCUGAUCCAGCCAUGCCGCGUGAGUGAUGAAGGCCCUAGGGUUGUAAAGCUCUUUCACCGGUGAAGAUAAUGACGGUAACCGGAGAAGAAGCCCCGGCUAACUUCGUGCCAGCCGCCGCAGUAACAC
rnacentral:rRNA from 1 species